rnacentral:rRNA from 1 species
UGGGGAAUUUUCCGCAAUGGGGGCAACCCUGACGGAGCAACGCCGCGUGCGGGAGGACGGCCUGUGGGUUGUAAACCGCUUUUCUCUAGGAAGAAGGUCUGACGGUACUAGAGGAAUCAGCAUCGGCUAACUCCGUGCCAGCAGCCGCGGUAAGACGGAGGAUGCAAGCGUUAUCCGGAAUUAUUGGGCGUAAAGAGUCCGUAGGCGGUCAAUCAAGUCAGUUGUUAAAGAUUACAGCUUAACUGUGAGCGAGCGACUGAAACUGAAUGACUAGAGAGCGGUAGGGGUAGAGGGAAUUCCCAGUGUAGCGGUGAAAUGCGUAGAUAUUGGGAAGAACACCAGUGGCGAAGGCGCUCUACUGGGCCGUGACUGACGCUGAGGGACGAAAGCUAGGGGAGCGAAAGGGAUUAGAUACCCCUGUAGUCC